rnacentral:rRNA from 1 species
AGGACGAACGCUGGCGGCGUGCUUAACACAUGCAAGUCGAGCGGAAAGGCCCUUCGGGGUACUCGAGCGGCGAACGGGUGAGUAACACGUGAGUAAUCUGCCCCUAGCUCUGGGAUAGCUCCGGGAAACCGGGAUUAAUACCAGAUACGACCACUUUAGACAUCUGCUGUGGUGGAAAGAUUUCGGCUAGGGAUGAGCUCGCGGCCUAUCAGCUUGUGUGAGGUAACGGCUCACCAAGGCGACGACGGGUA